AUGACGGGUACACACUACGCGCCUGCUUCCUGCUGGCCCCCGUACCGUAUAUUUCUUGAACAAACGAAUGUUUGGCACAUGUCCUACGUGAGUACGACAUGCACAUGGCACAGAUUCCACCCGAAAGUUCGUGCCAUCAACCUAUGAGAGUGAAGGAUCACCUGCCCAGGGAGCGUUUCCCCAGUGUAGUUUACUAGGUACCUUGAGCAGACUGCAAGGGUGUUCACAUCUGAGUCAGGAAACUGCAAGAAGCGUAUGCAACACUAUGCCUAUGAUGUAAGUAAUACAAGCAUUCGCAACAAAGCUUCAGCAGAACACGCCGUGAUGAAUGACUACAAGAUUGAUUGGACCAACGCAAGAAUCGUCACAACAGAAAAAGUGACAGCAUCUUGGCUACGUAUGGAAUCGUUUAUCAUGCAGACCACUUAUAAAAGAGUUAACCUUAACAACAGAAAUCUAAACGUGAUCAAUGCGAGGUCUUUGCAGCAAUUUCUCAAACCUAUUCAAAUGAACCGCUUCUGCUGAUGCAUUCAUUGUUGCAAGGCUUCCGUGCUCAAAGCCGAAACGUGAUAAACGUUUGUUUGGUCUGGUCGCCAUCUCUUUUUGUUUCAAAUGUACGGUGCCAGCCAAACGGGAUUCAUUCACGCUGCCGACUUCCAUGUCAACACAAAGAGUGCAGAAACCGCAACAGAAGGCCACUUGCCACUGCGUUGCAAAGGAGACUCCUGAGGAGGCGUUUUGUGGAUGACACGGCCUGUUCGAGCCUUCCAUUGUGGGAUGAACAGUUAUUCCCAUCAUUAGAGCCUUCACCAAAUGAGAUUGGAGGUUCAGCACAGUGUUGCUACGGCAGCAACAACUGCGCCUGCUACUGAGUCUGCUGCCACCUCAUAUCCUGCAGCCACACCAACUAAAUGUGCUGCCUCUUCUGGUCCUACAGCCUUAGCAGUCACACUGCUUUCUACCUCUGAUGCUGACAUGUCGCAGUGUUCGUUCAGCAAGAAUGAACAGCUAAGAUAAUCAAGGAUCCACAAGGACUAUU